UCGGAUUCGCAUGACUGGCGGGAUUGCGAGGGGAACCUCGGGGGAGUGCGAAUCUUCACGGGCCAUGGGGGGCGGCCGUCUUCGCCCCGGGCCCGUCAGCCGGCCGCCUGGGCGCUCUGA
rnacentral:ncRNA from 1 species